rnacentral:lncRNA from 1 species
GGUUCUGGGAGAUGGGAAAAGACAUUGGGGUGACCUCCAUGAAGCGCUGCAGCACCAUGGCGUCCUCAAGCAAUAUGUGAAGAAUUCCAUGACUCCGAUGAUGGGAAGAAACGUGCAGCAGCAAAACAAAAAUGUUGCUGAGAGGGCAGUGCAUUUUGAUGGAGAGGUUGGAGAGGGAUUUGGAGGGGAGAGGAGUUGCCAUCCAUGGUGAAGGAAAUGGAAGGAGAAGAGGCGGUGGCUGCUGGUUUUUUUGUGGAGAGAAAGGAGGGAGAGUUGGAGCUGCAGCCAUGGGGAAAAGAGAGGAGGAGGGGAGCCCAACUGAUGGAGGAAGGGGAGGAGAUGGGAUGCUCCUUCUCUGGUGCUUGCGUGAGGGAGAGAGGAGGAGAUGGGGGGGGGUUAUAGCUGCUGCAGCUGCAUGUGUCCAUGCCAUUGAAUAGGAAUAAAACUGGUGGAAUGAAAUGAGUGCUUUCAAGAGAGGAUUGAAGGGAGGUGUAGUCAAGGAAAUUCAUGGAGGAGAAAAUAGAUGCUGCUAUUAUUUUGCAUGAGGCAGAGAGGAUUGGGCGGCAGCAGGAGUGCAUGCAGUUCUGCUUUCACGUGAACUAAUGGAGAGGAAACCAAUGUAUUAAGGAUGGUUUGAUUAAAAGAGGUGACCAAGAGAUUAAGGAGGAAAUGAUGGUUACUAUUUUUGCAUUAUGGAAUGGGGAGAAGCCGCCACAGGGAGUAGAGAGUACGACUUGAAGGAGCAGGAUAUAUUGUUUUGUGCAUGCACGCAAUUGAAAAGAAUGAAGGGAGAUAUUACCAUGGGAAUUAUGGGGAAAAGAAAUAGAUGUUUCUUCUAUUUUUGCAUGAGAGAACAAGAGAGAAGGCGCCAUAAUAAGGAGGAGAGCUGGUCAAAUCAGUGAGAAAGAGAAUGCAUAUAGGUAUUAGUGAGGAGAAAAUAAAGAUUUGUAUGUAAAGAUAGUCAAGCGAUACAUUAUGGCCUGCUGUUAUUUUAUUUGAGGGAGAGAGAGGAGAGGCGUCACUAGAGAAGGGAGGUGAGUAAUCCGGCUGCCAUUGCAUGUCAAUGAGGACUAAAUAUUUGAUGGAGUAAAAGGUGCUAUCAAAAGAUUAAAGAGAGGCAUGCAACUGAUGGUUAUGUGCGAGGAAAGAAUGGAGCAGAUAAAUUAUCUGCAUGUAUGCAUGCCAUUCAAGAAAUGGAGUAAGUCGUAGGAAUAAGAGAGGGAUUAUUAAGGAUAGUGAUGUUGCUAUUUAUUUGUUUUCUUUGCAUGAUGGGAUGGGAGGAGGCGUCAUAUGUUCUGCAUGGAGAGAGAGGAUAAAGAUGCAUGACUAUUUCAUUAGCAUUUCACUUGUGCAAUUAGAGAGGGGUAAAUAAAAAGGGGUUUGUAAAGGGAGUUGAUGGAGGAAUAUUUGCUGCAAUGGCUGCAUGGGAGAAAAGGAAUAUGUGCCUUAAGAAAAGAGAUGAGCUGCUGAUAUAUGUGCAUGAAAUUGAUUAGAAUGGAGUGAAGGAGUAGCCAUUAGAGAGAAUCAAAAAUAGGUGUGACCAAGGAAUUUAGAGAGUAAGCAUUGGAUGCUGUUUUUUUUAGAUGAGGUAGAAGGAGACGCCAUCUAAUUUUGCAUGAGGAGAAGAAAGAAGAAAUAUAAUUAUUGUCUUGUGCAUGCAUAUAUUUAAAGAUGAUGAAGGACCACACAUAAACGAGUAUAUUAUAGAGGCAAUUCCGAGGAAAUUUAAGAGAGUAUAAAAGAGGUUGGGAAGAUAUUUCUAGCUGCUGCAUAUAUGCGAAUAAAGUGGAAGAGAUAAAUUAUUGGAGUAAAUUAGCACAUAUAAGAGAGGUGUGUCCAUUAAUUAAGAGAGGAAGGAAUAUGUGCAUAUGCUUUUGCAUGAGAAUAAAUAGAGGAGAGUGCUGCCUAGGGAGAGAAUAUAUGGUGGUUGCCACUCAUCUUUAACUUGCACAUAUCAAUAGACAAAUUGGAAAGGAGUUACAGUGCAUGAUCAGAGAUGAGGUGGCACAUGUUUUCACAGGAAGAAGAGGGAGGGCUUGACCAAAGAGUGGGAGAAGGAGCGAAUGUUGUGUGGCUGCUAUUCAUGAUAAAAGGAGAUAGUGGGUCAGCUUAGGCUUAACCCAAUUUUUAUAUAAGUUUGGUUGACAUAAAAAGGAAAGGCAAGAGAGUGUGAAGAUUGACUUGUCCACAAUUGUGAUAGGACCAUGAGGGAGCAAAGAAAUGAUAUGAUUGGUCUUAGAGAUUGGACAAGAUAUUUGGACUGAUGAGAUUUGGAUCACACCUAAAGCGUUUUCAGAAACAUUUAAAUUCAUUUUUUAAACAUAAACACUAUGCAACUGCAUGAAUGCAACAAACCACUAAGUUGUAUUGGAAAAAUUUUAAAAACUCACAUUUUUCCACUAUCUCAAAUGUUGACAACAUAACUAAAGCUGGAACAUUUUAUAAAAUCAUAAAAUCUUUGGCUUUGUUUUUACUGUUUUCUAAGACACAUCCCAAAGUAGGAAAUUUGGGGUGUGACAACUCUACCCCCCUUAACAGGAAUCUCGCCCCGAGAUUCGCUGAAGCUACACUCAUUACAAAGAACCAAAUCAUACAAGUUCAUCACGACAAAACAAUCAACCUAGCUAUAGCACACUAACAUGAUAGGGUCCUUAUGAAAGCACACUAUCACUCACCUUAGCAUCGUUGCUAACGUAAAAGCGCUCAGGGAUAACAACAUCCUAAAGGUAUUAGGGUAAACAUGCUUGAACUCUUGAACCUCCAUGGUGAUGCUUAUUGUUGAUGCAGAAUCUUCAACAAAUUUGACGCAUCAUCAUGGAUCUUGGAGGAACGAGGGGUUUUGACAAAGUUUUUUGUUUUUCUUUCAGAAAAUACCAAGGUGGAGGAAGACAAGAUAAGUUUUCAUCAAAAUAAGUUUGUAAAAGGGACCAUUUCUAUCUAGGCAGAGCGUCCUACAGUCAACAUUGCUCUGAUACCAAUCUGUCGCACCCGGUUUUCCAAAGAAGACCAAGCGCUAACUAUAUGUGUGCCCAGGAUGUCCACACGACACAUAUAGUGACAAAUAUGGAGAAUAUCAAGAACAACGCUUUAUUAUAUAUCGGAACAUAGUUACAACAUGGCUUACAUAUAUUACAAAGCAUAGCGGAAACUAUUCUAUAUCUUCUCUUUGGGUCUCCAUACUCCACAGGGACGGUUGACUGGGGGUACACUCGCCUAGUACUCCUGGAACAUUUCAGGGAACUCCGCCUUUGUAUCACCAUCUGGUACCCAUCCGGGAUUUUUGAUUGUUGAAUGUAAAGCAAGUGUGAGCGCACCAUACUCAACAAGUAUAACAUGAGGGGAUGCAAGGCUCAAAAGGCUUGACUUGGUUUGACUGCGAUAAGCAUUUUUAGUUGGUCAUAUUUUAUUAUUAGACCUAUGUUGCUAAGUUAUGCUUAAGCUCCCAAGGUGACAAGUAUAAUUAUCAUCAAAAUUAAUCAUCAACCCAAACCAUCCAUUGAACCAUCUAUCUCGAAAAGGAUCCAGGCCGCUCGUGACCGAGAGCACGGCUGAUAUAUCAGUUUUUCUAACUCUGCAGAGUAUGUACAUCUUUACCCAUGAGUCGUGAUUGCCCUUUGCUCGAGGGAGCCAACCUCUUGACUCACUUCCAAGGUAAGUCGGCAGGGAUCACUACGUAACCUUUCACUAGACACCCUAACUAGUUAGUGGCCGCGAGGUUUCAGUGGCAAGUGUGCAUAGAGACCUCCUCCAAGAGGCACAUGUGGUCGCGACACUGUACACACCAAGGUAGGAGCAAAACUAUACACCACGAGGCACCCCCCUCUUGCGCCUUUCGGUAACCACUAACAAGCUAGAGACGUACUAGAUACUUGAUUAAGAUCAGAGCCAUGUGAUUCUCAUGGUUGUACUGUAAGUCCUGGGUUGCCACUUUAAGAUUCAGUCCUUACGGAGGGCGGACUAGAGCACCCAAAAAGGCCCAAUGCUCUAGCCCCCUUAUAUCCAUGUUGCUAGAAAGCAUCAUUAUAUAUUGAUUCCAUAAUCCAUUAGUCAAGAUUAACUUUAUAUAGUUGGUUGAUUGCAAGCUAAGCCAACUAACCAUAUGCAUAACCCAAUGGUAACAAGGAAUACAAGUUAACAAAGGUUCUAGGUAUAGUCCUUAUAGGUUCAUCAUUUUAGACACAUGCAUAUGAAAAGGUGAUUAAAUGGUUAUUGGGUAACAAGGGAACUCAUGUUACACUUGCCUUCCAAAACACUUGUCGAUGGUUCCACUUCUCAAAGAUAUACUCCUCAUGUAGCUCCACUUCUAACGUCAGCAAACAAUCGAUACAAGCAUCACAAGAGAACCUAAAAACAAUACACCAAGCAUUACAAAAUAAGACUUAAAGGUUUUAAACAUGUAGGGCUUGUAACUACGAUCGUUGAGCGCAAAAACAACUAAACGGAGCAAUGGUUUAGAAGACAUGAAAGUUCAAAGGUAGAAGUUGGAAGGUUCAAUAAAUGAUAGGAAUGGAAUAAACAUGAUGUAUGUGGGCUAACUUGAAAGAUUUAGAGAGCAUAAGGAUUUAUAGAUGAAUAGUAAAUGAUCAGAGGAUUGUAUACAAGAUAGACUAGAGAUUAUGAAGAAUGAAGUAAGCAUAUGAAGAUUUAAGGGCUUGAUCACUUGUGCUGGCUAUGCAAGCUGGAUGAGAGAAAACAUAUACAUGGCAAUGGCUACACAGUAGUGAGAUGAUAUGGUGAGAUACUAUCAAGAUUAUUUAUAUGUGGUUCUAGAACACAAUGAGGCAGGACAACUAUGAUGGUUGGAAUGGCUAGAACUUUGCGAGUGCAAUGCGACCAUAGAUUUAAGAUGGAAGCAAGGCUGCACAUAAGGUUUGUGUAUCCUGAUUACUUUAUAUAUAUAUGAUGGAGUGCUGCUGCAUAUGAGAGGUCAUAUGGGAUCAUAUUAUGGUCACUAGUGCACCAAAGCAAGUAGCUAAAUCCACUGGGGAUAUGAUUACAAUGAGCUGCACACCGACUGAGCAUGAAUGUGCGAUGGGAAGUAGUGGUUCUUGCCAACAAAACGCAGGCCUAUGCUAAGCUUCUGGGAUAGAUAUUUGGUGGAUUUGUGUGCAGCAACCAUAGACAUAGUCAUGCAAGAGAGAUCAGUGAUUUGAACAAUGGUUUGGUGGGGAACGUGGUGAGACACCGGUGCACCUAGGAUGUGCAUGGCAGCGGACAACAGGGGUUAUGAUCCUUGAUGACAUGCUCUGGUCAGCACAAAUGAGCAAUCCAUAUUUUGGAGUCAUCGUGGACUGUAUGAGGUAUGUUCUUGUAAAAGGGAAUGGUGGUUUGACCAUCUGUUAAGCGGAGAACACAAACUCAAAAUGGGUGGCAUGACUGAUUUCUAGACAGCAGGAGUAGCAGGUACUAUGGCCUCAACAUCUCAGCCAUUGAGACACCUAUGGCCAAGCCAACCUGUAGAGAUGUGUACAACGAUAAGACACACAUUCUUCAUGAAGGGUUUGAUGAUUUAACUAAUGUAUGAUGGGGAACAACACUAUCAAACAGAGGCACAAUGCUGCUGAAACAGCAGGGACAGCAAACACCGAAAAGAUGAUGAUAUCUCUUUCAUCUUGAAUUCUAUUGCCAUGGAAUUUCUCAGGGGUGUGUGCAAAGGUAGAAAACACACUGUGGUUGAAGGACAUGGUCACUGGAGUGAUGGAUCAUUGGGAAUACACAUGCCAACCGGCAGAAACUCUGCUGCGGGACAGCAGCGACAUCAUGCACAAGAACAUUUAUAACUCUUUCAUAUUAAGCUCUAUGGCCAUGAAAAUUUACAGAGACAUGGGCAAAUAUAUGAUACACACAUGGAUUAAAGGAAUUGCAAAACAGAGGUGCAGAUUGCCGGGAACAUGCGUGAUAACCAGCAGCAACACUGCUGUCCAUGAUAGACGACAAUACGUUCUUAGCCAAAACUGCACUACAAAUCUAUCCACUUGAAUCAAGAUGACAAAACUUUGAUAUAGUCGAACAUAUAAGAUAGAGGAGAAUGUUUGGUUCUCACAUUGGGGUUAGGAACAGUUGGAGAUGAACGUGAUGGCAGCGGUCAGUGUCGAUGACAGGUGAAGACAAUGUUGGUGAUCAAUGGAGCAGUGGCAUAUUCGCUUUGGGGGAUCAUCCAUGCCUCACAAUAGAUCAAAGAGAUGCAUGAGUGGGGAAUAUGAAACGAGAUCACAGAGGGGAGAGGGAAGGACGACCUCACCAUGGUCUGCACAAGAGCAGCAGCGAUGAUGGUCGAUGAGUUUCUGCUGCAGGUUCUGGGAGAUGGGAAAAGACAUUGGGGUGACCUCCAUGAAGCGCUGCAGCACCAUGGCGUCCUCAAGCAAUAUGUGAAGAAUUCCAUGACUCCGAUGAUGGGAAGAAACGUGCAGCAGCAAAACAAAAAUGUUGCUGAGAGGGCAGUGCAUUUUGAUGGAGAGGUUGGAGAGGGAUUUGGAGGGGAGAGGAGUUGCCAUCCAUGGUUGAAGGAAAUGGAAGGAGAAGAGGCGGUGGCUGCUGUUUUUUUUAGAUGAGGUAGAAGGAGACGCCAUCUAAUUUUGCAUGAGG